CUCUACCUUCAUUUAAUUCCUUGGUGCUUUACUAUUUGAAUCUAGAAUAUUCUUGAAGUCUGAAAGAUGGAUAGAAAAGAGUCGUGUGUACAUCAUUGGGAAUGGAGGGAAAUAAAUGACUGGAUGGUCGCUGCUUUUUAAGUUUCAAAUUGACAUUCCAGACAAGCGGUGCCUGAGCCCGUGCCUGUCUUCAGAUCUUCACAGCACAGUUCCUGGGAAGGUGGAGCCACCAGCCUCUCCUUGAAUAACUGGGAGAUGAAACAGGAAGCUCUAUGACACACUUGAUCGAAUAUGACAGACACCGAAAAUCACGACUCAGCCCCCUCCAGCACCUCUACCUGUUGCCCGCCGAUCACAGCCGGAAUGCAGCUGAAAGAUUCCCUGGGGCCUGGUUCCAACCGCCCACUGUGGACUCUGAGGCCUCUGCAUUUGCGGGUGGUCUGCCUGUGAUAUUUUGGUCAUGGGCUGGUCUGGUCGGUUUCCCAUUUGUCUGGCCAGUCUCUAUGUGUCUUAAUCCCUUGUCCUUCAUUAAAAGCAAAACUAAAGAAAA
rnacentral:lncRNA from 1 species